rnacentral:rRNA from 1 species
GUAGGGUGCGAGCGUUGUCCGGAAUUAUUGGGCGUAAAGAGCUCGUAGGCGGUGUGUCGCGUCGGCCGUGAAAACCUGGGGCUUAACUCUGGGCGUGCGGUCGAUACGGGCAUCACUAGAGUUCGGCAGGGGAGACUGGAAUUCCUGGUGUAGCGGUGAAAUGCGCAGAUAUCAGGAGGAACACCGGUGGCGAAGGCGGGUCUCUGGGCCGAUACUGACGCUGAGGAGCGAAAGCAUGGGUAGCGAACAGGAUUAGAUACCCUGGUAGUCCAUGCCGUAAACGUUGGGCGCUAGGUGUGGGGUCCAUUCCACGGGUUCCGUGCCGCAGCUAACGCAUUAAGCGCCCCGCCUGGGGAGUACGGCCGCAAGGCUAAA